AUAGCCCCUCGUUCAGGCCCCCAACCUUGCCUCUCAAGGGGUGCUCGUCUCGGUAUCUUUUUUCAGACUAGCCCCAGGCUGGCACUGUCCCCUUUCGGAGCUGUCACUCUGAGUUCAGCAAGACCGGGGCUUGAUGCUCUGGUCUCCUUUAAGACACCCCUGGCUCAUGUUUACUUCCCAGAAGAUUUCACGGAGGCAAAGAAGAAGCCAACACCCAACAGUGUGGCUCCUGGCACUAUGCUGGGGACACAUUUUGGAGACAGCGGCACUUCUGCGGCCCCCCUGUGCUAUGAAGAUCUUUUGGCAGCCUAGGGCCACACAACAGAGCUCCACACUGCCUGGGUACUUCCUUCUAGGGGCCUUGAGUUCCAGAAGCUUCCUCAGUCCCUACCCCAAAGUCCCAGAGAGGAAGACAGAGCACCAUUUCAUCGGCCGCUUCUUCCUCUGGGAGUUUUCAUUGGAAUGCCCUCUCCACAUCACUCCUCAGGGAGGAAAUGAACGCCCAGGCAGGCAGAGCUGUGGGGUAUGAUAGGGGUGUCUGGGAAUCCCCCGUAUGCUGCUGGGAUGGGGUGUCUGGGAAUCCCCCACACGCUGCUGGGAUAGGGGUGUCUGGGAAUCCCCCACAUGCUGCGGGGAUAGGGGUGUCUGGGAAUCAUGCGGCCUCCCUUGAUGCAGUGGGACCAUCUGGCCAGGAGCCUGUGGGGCCCUGACUCCACAACAGGGCAGGACCAGUGUUUGUUUUAGAUAAACCAGACUCCGUUCAGACAGUCACAGGCCUCAGGAGCCCCAUCCUGUGCUGGGGGGAAGGGGUGCUGAUAAAGGAGACGCCUUGCUCUGCAGAACAAAAAUAAUUCCACCACUGCCACCGCUCACAGCAUCUACAGCAGGCCCUGUGCUGCUGUCGCAACCUCACCCUGGUCCCCUGAGGCGGAUAUCACCAUCCCAUUUCAGAGACAAGGAAAAUGAGGCCCAGGUGCGUGAAGAAACUGGCCUAUCAAGGCAGAGCUAGUGGGUAGCAUGCUGGACUUCUAAGCCUUCCUGAGAAGGUGAACUGCUUCCUCUGAGAUGGGCAUAGGCAUGGCUGUGUGUGCAUCUUGUCCUGACCAUUCCACAGUGGCUAUUAUCACACUCCAUUUACAAUUGGCUCAGCAAACCGGAGGUGAACCUGAAGCAGCCCAGCUGGCCCUAAGAAGCCCUGGAUGCUCCCUCCCAUCCUCACAUCAUUGAGUCAAUGCUAUAAUUUGAAUGUCUGUGUCCCCUCCAAAAUUCACGUUGCAACUUAAUCCUUAAGGAGCAGUUUUAAGAGGUGGGGCCUUUAGGAAGUGAUGAGGUCAUGAGGGCUCUGCUCUAUGAAUGGAUUAGUGUCUUAUAAAAGGGCUUGAGGGGGCC
rnacentral:lncRNA from 1 species